AGUGAACGCUGACGGUAGGCCUAACACAUGCAAGUCGAACGGCAGCACAGUAAGAGCUUGCUCUUACGGGUGGCGAGUGGCGGACGGGUGAGGAAUACAUCGGAAUCUACUUUUUCGUGGGGGAUAACGUAGGGAAACUUACGCUAAUACCGCAUACGACCUACGGGUGAAAGCAGGGGAUCUUCGGACCUUGCGCGAUUGAAUGAGCCGAUGUCGGAUUAGCUAGUUGGCGGGGUAAAGGCCCACCAAGGCGACGAUCCGUAGCUGGUCUGAGAGGAUGAUCAGCCACACUGGAACUGAGACACGGUCCAGACUCCUACGGGAGGCAGCAGUGGGGAAUAUUGGACAAUGGGCGCAAGCCUGAUCCAGCCAUACCGCGUGGGUGAAGAAGGCCUUCGGGUUGUAAAGCCCUUUUGUUGGGAAAGAAAAGCAGCAGGUUAAUACCCCGCUGUUCUGACGGUACCCAAAGAAUAAGCACCGGCUAACUUC
rnacentral:rRNA from 1 species